UUGAAACACCAGUUCCCGUAUGAUCACUGAAGUUAAGCAACGUUAAGCCUGAUCAGUACUUAGAUGGGUGACUGUUUGGAAAUAUUAGGUGCUGUAAG